rnacentral:rRNA from 1 species
AUUGAACGCUGGCGGCAGGCCUAACACAUGCAAGUCGAGCGCGCGGCGGACGGGUGAGUAAUGUAUGGGGACCUGCCCGAUAGAGGGGGAUAACUACUGGAAACGGUGGCUAAUACCGCAUACUAUCGGUUGAACCCAUAUGGGAUUAGCUAGGAGGUGGGGUAAAGGCUCACCUAGGCGACGAUCUCUAGCUGGUCUGAGAGGAUGUUCAGCCACACUGGGACUGAGACACGGCCCAGACUACUACGGGAGGCAGCAGUGAGGAAUAUUGGACAAUGGGCGCAAGCCUGAUGCAGCCAUGCCGCGGGUAUGAAGAAGGCCUUAGGAUUGUAAAGUACUUUCAUCGGAGAGGCGUUACCCGCAGAAGAAGCACCGGCUAACUCCGUGCCAGCGGCCGCGGUAAUUC